GAUGAACGCUGGCGGCGUGCCUAAUACAUGCAAGUCGAGCGAACAGACGAGGAGCUUGCUCCUCUGACGUUAGCGGCGGACGGGUGAGUAACACGUGGAUAACCUACCUAUAAGACUGGGAUAACUUCGGGAAACCGGAGCUAAUACCGGAUAAUAUAUUGAACCGCAUGGUUCAAUAGUGAAAGACGGUUUUGCUGUCACUUAUAGAUGGAUCCGCGCCGCAUUAGCUAGUUGGUAAGGUAACGGCUUACCAAGGCAACGAUGCGUAGCCGACCUGAGAGAGUGAACGGCCACACUGGAACUGAGACACGGUCCAGACUCCUACGGGAGGCAGCAGUAGGGAAUCUUCCGCAAUGGGCGAAAGCCUGACGGAGCAACGCCGCGUGAGUGAUGAAGAUCUUCGGAUCGUAAAACUCUGUUAUUAGGGAAAAACAAAUGUGUAAGUAACUAUGCACGUCUUGACGGUACCUAAUCAGAAAGCCACGGCUAACUACGUG
rnacentral:rRNA from 1 species